AAUGACUCAGUUUUUCCUAAUUUUUGAAAAUGUUCCUGUUUCCGAAAAGUAGGUGCUUUGAGUUCCACUGCCUAGCUGGUUCAAAUGGGCCUGAGGAUUGGACAGCUCAAUUCCUUGUACAGGAGUAAAUGCCAAACUUGAGGUCAGCCCAGAUGUAGCACCACUGCUUCCAUAGCGUUUUUCCUUGAACUUCUUAACAACUUUUGCAGCAAGCUUGCUCUGAGCAGCCGACACACGCAACUUGCCACUCCCAGCCUGACCAAGCAUUCCAUACCCUUCCCCCAAUCCAUCUCCUAAAGAACUCUCUUCAGGCACCCCAAACUGCAUCCUGUUAGCUAGCUUCCUCAUCUCCGUCGUUGCAUAUCUUUCCUUCAUCUUCCUUAAUCGGCGGCCGCCUCUCUUUUUUUUGGGCUCAG
rnacentral:misc_RNA from 1 species